GCAGUUGGUUGGUGAAGGAGCAAUUGGACGCACUUGUAACUAAUAGACUUGGACUUUCCCCACCGAUUCUUCCUCAACAUAAGGAGUUUGCUUCAAGUUUUCAAUUUGGCUCAUGACAUGGUCCUGCUGAAUGGCAUCCAGCAUGAGGCUGGACUCUUGUGGAUGCAGUGAAGGACACCAUUGGAAAAAGUGAAAGUGUUGGCAGUGUUGAGUAACUUUCAGAAGUAAAAGACAGAGAGAAACAUGGAUAAGAGGGAGUUCAGAAAACAGUAAGGGAGCUGUAAAA
rnacentral:lncRNA from 1 species